AGUGAACGCUGGCGGUAGGCCUAACACAUGCAAGUCGAACGGCAGCACAGGAGAGCUUGCUCUCUGGGUGGCGAGUGGCGGACGGGUGAGGAAUACAUAGGAAUCUACUCUGUCGUGGGGGAUAACGUAGGGAAACUUACGCUAAUACCGCAUACGACCUACGGGUGAAAGCAGGGGACCUUCGGGCCUUGUGCGAUUGAAUGAGCCGAUGUCGGAUUAGCUAGUUGGCGGGGUAAAGGCCCACCAAGGGGACGAUCCGUAGCUGGUCUGAGAGGAUGAUCAGCCACACUGGAACUGAGACACGGUCCAGACUCCUACGGGAGGCAGCAGUGGGGAAUAUUGGACAAUGGGCGCAAGCCUGAUCCAGCCAUACCGCGUGGGUGAAGAAGGCCUUCGGGUUGUAAAGCCCUUUUGUUGGGAAAGAAAUCCAGCUGGCUAAUACCCGGUUGGGAUGACGGUACCCAAAGAAUAAGCACCGGCUAACUUCGUGCCAGCAGCCGCCGUAA
rnacentral:rRNA from 1 species